rnacentral:rRNA from 1 species
GCAAGUCGAACGCGAAAGGCCCCUUCGGGGGCCGAGUAGAGUGGCGCACGGGUGAGUAACACGUGGGUAAUCUACCUCUGGGUGGGGAAUAACAGCCGGAAACGGCUGCUAAUACCGCAUAAUGCAGCGGCACCACAUGGUGACAGUUGUUAAAGCGGGGGAUCGUAAGACCUCGCGCCUAGAGAUGAGCCCGCGGCGGAUUAGCUAGUUGGUAGGGUAACGGCCUACCAAGGCGACGAUCCGUAGCCGGCCUGAGAGGGCGGACGGCCACACUGGCACUGACAUACGGGCCAGACUCCUACGGGAGGCAGCAGUCGGGAAUUUUGGGCAAUGGGCGAAAGCCUGACCCAGCAACGCCGCGUGAAGGAUGAAGCUUCUCGGAGUGUAAACUUCAUAAGAAUGGGACGAAUAAGGAGGGGUUAACACCCCCUUUGAUGACGGUACCAUUUGUAAGCUCCGGCUAACUCCGUGCCAGCAGCCGCGGUAAUACGGGGGGAGCAAGCGUUGUUCGGAUUUACUGGGCGUAAAGGGCGCGUAGGCGGCGCAACAAGUCACUUGUGAAAUCUCCGGGCUUAACCCGGAGCGGCCAAGUGAUACUGUCGUGCUAGAGUGCGGAAGGGGCUACUGGAAUUCUCGGUGUAGCGGUGAAAUGCGUAGAUAUCGAGAGGAACACCUGCGGCGAAGGCGGGUAGCUGGGCCGACACUGACGCUGAAGCGCGAAAGCCAGGGGAGCGAACGGGAUUAGAUACCCCGGUAGUCCUGGCCUUAAACGAUGGAUACUUGGUGUCCGGGGUUACAUAGUCCCCGGGUGCCGGCGCUAACGCAUUAAGUAUCCCGCCGGGGGAGUACGGUCGCAAGACUGAAACUCAAAGGAAUUGACGGGGACCCGCACAAGCGGU